rnacentral:lncRNA from 1 species
GCCAUUAUAAUAAUCAAUCAAAUGAAACAACGAAAAAAAGCUAGCCUCUUGCAAUCCGUAGUCACCAUAAUAACUCAUAAGUAAUGUAAAAAAAAUCUCAUGGGAGAGCUUAAAGUGAUAACGACUGUCAAAGAACUUCAUAAACAAUAUCUGGUGGUAAUGAUUCUCUUCAAUUCACUUCAAAAAAAUGUUUAAUUACAGAGACUCGGGUGGUAUGUUCAGCAGACGCAACUGAACGGGGAGCCGUGGUUCACCAUUACGCCGAGGGUGGCGGGGGAGACGGCAUCUUAGUGGCCAGCCUCUUGUUCGGCUGCGGCGCCGGCGGCGACGGAGCCCUCUGCCCCAGAGACCGCCUCGACACAGCCGGCUCGCCACCGCGGUAGCCUCCGCCGGCGAAACGCCGUACCUCCGCGCCAGCCGCCUCUGCAUGAUCCGCAGCGAUAUCCUGAAUCAGCUCCUUCCGGCAUGGGUGAGUAUCUAGCAGGAGACGCGAGGAGCAUGUACCGGUGGUGCAAGAACCCAGCACGAGCCCGGCUACGAGCAGCCAUGCGACCACCCUACAAUUCAUGGCGACACGCCGGACGAGAUAUCACGGUUGCUUGCGCUGAGCUGAACGGAUACCAAUAGCUAGCAAGAUAUCGGGAGUUGGAAGUGUCUACUCGUCGUCAACCAUGGCGCAUGGGGGUGGGGUAUAUAUACAUAUCUCGAGGUCCU